rnacentral:sRNA from 1 species
UCAUAAGAAACAGAACAACAAGUAAA